rnacentral:rRNA from 1 species
AUUGAACGCUGGCGGCAGGCCUAACACAUGCAAGUCGAACGGUAACAGGAAGAAGCUUGCUUCUUUGCUGACGAGUGGCGGACGGGUGAGUAAUGUCUGGGAAACUGCCUGAUGGAGGGGGAUAACUACUGGACACGGUAGCUAAUACCGCAUAACGUCGCAAGACCAAAGAGGGGGACCUUCGGGCCUCUUGCCAUCGGAUGUGCCCAGAUGGGAUUAGCUAGUAGGUGGGGUAACGGCUCACCUAGGCGACGAUCCCUAGCUGGUCUGAGAGGAUGACCAGCCACACUGGAACUGAGACACGGUCCAGACUCCUACGGGAGGCAGCAGUGGGGAAUAUUGCACAAAGGGCGCAAGCCUGAUGCAGCCAUGCCGCGUGUAUGAAGAAGGCCUUCGGGUUGUAAAGUACUUUCAGCGGGGAGGAAGGGAGUAAAGUUAAUACCUUUGCUCAUUGACGUUACCCGCAGAAGAAGCACCGGCUAACUCCGUG